AAAAAAAAAAAAAAUCUAAUGUUAUGGCCAAAUCAUCAUCAAGAGCAUAAAUGCUACAAUUUAAGAUGUGCAUGGUGAACUUCCUCCUGUAAACUGCAUAUCAACACAAAGGGUUUGAGGGAAUUAGAGAUGAAUUACUCACAAGUGGAGUACCCAGAAUAUUGGCUUAUUAUUAGAUGUAAAAAACAAUGUUGACAAAUUGAGAGAGAGAGAGAGAGUAUGAAAAUAGAUGACAA
rnacentral:misc_RNA from 1 species